rnacentral:rRNA from 1 species
AUGGAGCCAACGAGUCUACCGAUAAGAUUAUUAGAGAAAAUCACGGAUAAUUUCUCUGAGGAGCGACUACUUGGCCAAGGUGCAUAUGGAAAAGUUUACAGGGGUGUGUACAACGACGGACAAGAGAUUGCUGUGAAGCUGCUCCAUAACAACAUGCAAACAAUCGACGAUGAACAAUUCAUACACGAGUUUGAUAACCUUAUGAUGCUAAACCACCCAAACAUUGUACAGUUAGUUGGUUACUGCUAUGAAACACAACGUCAGCAUAUGGACUUCGAAGGGAGAACUGUUUUUGCUGAGACAACAUAUAAAGCACUUUGCUUUGAGUAUAUGCCCAAGGGGAGCCUUCAAAGAUGA